rnacentral:rRNA from 1 species
GGCGGCGUGCCUAAUACAUGCAAGUAGAACGCUGAAGGGAGAGCUUGCUCUUCUGGAUGAGUUGCGAACGGGUGAGUAACGCGUAGGUAACCUGCCUGGUAGCGGGGGAUAACUAUUGGAAACGAUAGCUAAUACCGCAUAACAUUGACUAUUGCAUGAUAGUCAAUUGAAAGGUGCAAUUGCACCACUACCAGAUGGACCUGCGUUGUAUUAGCUAGUUGGUGGGGUAACGGCUCACCAAGGCGACGAUACAUAGCCGACCUGAGAGGGUGAUCGGCCACACUGGGACUGAGACACGGCCCAGACUCCUACGGGAGGCAGCAGUAGGGAAUCUUCGGCAAUGGACGGAAGUCUGACCGAGCAACGCCGCGUGAGUGAAGAAGGUUUUCGGAUCGUAAAGCUCUGUUGUAAGAGAAGAACGAGUGUGAGAGUGGAAAGUUCACACUGUGACGUAUCUACCAGAAA